rnacentral:rRNA from 1 species
CCUACGGGUGGCAGCAGUGAGGAAUAUUGGUCAAUGGGCGAGAGCCUGAACCAGCCAAGUCGCGUGAAGGAUGACUGCUCUAUGGUUUGUAAACUUCUUUUAUAUGGGAAUAAAGUGAGGAACGUGUUCCUUUUUGUAUGUACUAUAUGAAUAAGCAUCGGCUAACUCCGUGCCAGCAGCCGCGGUAAUACGGAGGAUGCGAGCGUUAUCCGGAUUUAUUGGGUUUAAAGGGUGCGUAGAUGGUUAAUUAAGUCAGCGGUGAAAGUUUGUGGCUCAACCGUAAAGUUGCCGUUGAUACUGGUUGACUUGAGUACAGUUGAGGUAGGCGGAAUGCGUGGUGUAGCGGUGAAAUGCUUAGAUAUCACGCAGAACUCCGAUUGCGAAGGCAGCUUACUAAACUAUAACUGACACUGAUGCUCGAAAGCGUGGGUAUCAAACAGGAUUAGAUACCCGAGUAGUC